GGGACCCUAUUCUUUCACUGCUGGGAACAGUGCUUGGCACACAGCAGGGGCUUACUGCUUCGUUGCUGAAGGAAUGGAUGUCAAGCCCCACGCUGAGCACCCCACAUGCAAGAUCUUAUUCAGCCCCCACCACAGCCUCACUUCAUGGGAGAGGAUAUGCCUGUCCCACAACAGGGCCAUGUGCUCGUGCAGUUUGCACAUAGUAAACACUCAGGAAAUGGAAGCUGUCCCUUGCCAGGAAGGCCCUUGGAGGCCUCUGAAGUCAUCAUGUACAAAUCAACCAGAGUGUUUAUUUUGCACACACCCAGAGUGGGUGGACUUACACAACUCGAAGGUCACUAACGCCGUCCGACUGACUGUCUGUGGGGUAAGCGCCUACUGUGUGCCAGGGAUCAAACCACUCCACUCUGGAGAGGUUUAAUUCAAGUGAGUCCAAAUGUGAGGCUCUGGUAAAGCUGGAGCUUUAAGUGCUGAUGUUCCCUAAUGCAGGGCAGAUGGGGGUCAUGUCCAUGGAAAGGAGCCCACGGUGAGGUCAGCCUAGGCUGAGCCUGUCCCACCAAUGACAGCAUCCAGCUCCUGCCCUUCCUAAGAACCUGCAAUGCCUCUUCACUGCACCAGGACAAAACUCAACCUGGCACACAAAGGCCUUUCCAACCCCUUCCCACCACACGGCCUUCCCUGCCCAUGGAAGGGACUAGUGUCUUCUAAGUGUUUGCUGGUUGCUGGGGGUUCUCAGUGCUCAAGACAGCUGCAUCCCCACCCUCUUGGAUGAGCAACUUUACGGCAGCUGAGACCUCCCAGGUGCCAGCCCUGCGCUGACAGCUUGACAUGCCCAUCUCAUUGAAUCAAUGCCCAGCCCCACGAAGCAGGGGCCAUGAUGGCUGGAUUUCCAUUCGACAGAUAAGGACACUGAGGCUCCAUCGGGAGAGGUGAUUUGCCCAGUGACUCACGGUUGGGGAUGGAAGUGCAACCCAGAUGCAUCUGACUACAAAGCAAAGAAGACAUCACAAUAAUGUGUGGUGUGCCAGAUUGCUUACAAGAUACUACCAUGGAUGAGAAAGGAUUCCUACUCAGUAAUCCAGGCACCAAGUUUACUGUCCCAGAAGCGGAGGUGAGAGGUGCUCAAAUCUGCAGGUCUUCUGAACCUUCUAAAGGUACUAUGUCCAUAAAAAAAAAAAUACCCAGGGAGAGAUCAACCAAAGGACUUGUAUGCAUGCAUAUAAGCAUAACCAA